rnacentral:rRNA from 1 species
UCGGGAUUGGAAUUCUCGACUUAGUGGCGGACGGGUGAGUAACGCGUGAGCAAUCUGCCUUUAAGAGGGGGAUAACAGUCGGAAACGGCUGCUAAUACCGCAUAAAGCAUCGAAACCGCAUGAUUUUGAUGCCAAAGGAGCAAUCCGCUUUUAGAUGAGCUCGCGUCUGAUUAGCUGGUUGGCGGGGUAACGGCCCACCAAGGCGACGAUCAGUAGCCGGACUGAGAGGUUGAACGGCCACAUUGGGACUGAGACACGGCCCAGACUCCUACGGGAGGCAGCAGUGGGGAAUAUUGCGCAAUGGGGGAAACCCUGACGCAGCAACGCCGCGUGAUUGAAGAAGGCCUUCGGGUUGUAAAGAUCUUUAAUCAGGGACGAAACAAAUGACGGUACCUGAAGAAUAAGCUCCGGCUAACUACGUGCCAGCAGCCGCGGUAAUACGUAGGGAGCAAGCGUUAUCCGGAUUUACUGGGUGUAAAGGGCGCGCAGGCGGGCCGGUAAGUUGGAAGUGAAAUCUAUGGGCUUAACCCAUAAACUGCUUUCAAAACUGCUGGUCUUGAGUGAUGGAGAGGCAGGCGGAAUUCCGUGUGUAGCGGUGAAAUGCGAAGAUAUACGGAGGAACA